GUGCUCUCUUCGGCACAUAUACUAAAAUUGGAACUAUGCAGAGAAGAUUAGUAUGGCCCCUGCACAAGGAUAACAUGCAAAUUCAUGAAAUGCUCUGUCCUAAU
ensembl:snRNA U6 U6 spliceosomal RNA